UUUAAAAGUUGAGAGUUGAAUAGAUCUGACCACUGGGUUGCAAUCCAAUAGACAAGAAUAUCAUAUAGAAACCCAAAUUUCCCUUUGACUUUAGAAUCAAGCAAUAAUGUAAUGCACAAAAUAGAAACUUGACUAGAAAGGCAUCAAUUAAAGAUAGCCACAUCCAAGCUUAGCAACUCCAUGAUCCUCUUUAGAUUUUAUCCAUGUAGCAGAUGAACUCCAAGAUGGCAUAAGU
rnacentral:lncRNA from 1 species